rnacentral:lncRNA from 1 species
UAACUUGAGGUCCGAGGAGGAGGAGAAACAGUAUAACUUUCGCUCAAAAAAAUACAUCUUUCGGCUAAAAAAAAUAUAAUUUUUAUCUUAAAAAGUAUAAUUUUUUCUCAAAAAAUACAACUUGUGUAAUAUUUUUUUGAGGGGCAAUUGCUUAUAUAUUCCUUAAAAGUUUCCGACUUUCUGAUUUACCCCUCUUAGAAGACUAAUAUUAAAAAUAUCCUUUUUACAUUUAAACCUAUUUCAAAUAUACUUUAGAGUUAAAAUUUGUUAAUAAGCUCUGUUAUCUAUAUAAAAUUACUAUUUUAUCAUUUCAAAUAUACGCUUCCACCAUCACCAACUUUUCUUAUUUGCUCUUAAGUUAGGGGUACAAAAAAUAUUUUGACUUCUGGUCUUUUCAAAUAUACUCAUCUACUAUCAUCAACAUUUCUUAUUUGCUCUUAAGUUAAGGGCAAAAUUGAUAUUUUAAAUUUUUUUAACUGUGGUAGAUAUUUAACUCAUGUUUCUAAGUUAACUUAACGGGUGAUAACUGUAGCGGUAUUUUGAAAUAAUGGAGGAAUAUAUGAGGAGUAUAUUGGAAAGAAAAAAAUAAGAAUAAAUAAAAUAUUUCUGAAGUUUUGAGGGGUAUAUAGAUAAUUAUCCCUUAUUUAAAACAGUGUAACUUUAUAUUUUUCUUCAUUUCACUCUUAUUCUUAGCCUAAUAAGAUAGAAUUUUUUUAAAUUUUUUGUUUCUACUUUUUGUAAUUUUUUUUUGCUACCACGCAUUCUUUCUCGCCCUCUAUCACAGCCACCGUCCUUCUGAGAGUGCUACUUAGAGAAGCAUGGGCGUGUCUUCGUCCUCACCCUCACGGGCGACAAUGAGCAUUGCCUCGGCUACGACGUUAUCGUCUUCGUCUGCUCGGCUCUCACCCGCGCUGGCUCCAAGUCCUUGUCCUCCAACGCUGGCGUCAAUACCUGCACCGACAAAGGCGGAGGAAGAAAAGGCGUUGCCUCGCUCUUUACUGUCGCGGAGAACCGUGAAGACUGUGGAGGAGGGUUGGAGAGAAAAAAAAUGAACAAGAGAAAAAAGAAGAGAGAAAAGAAAAUAAAAAUAUUCUAAUUAGUUUUUUAAAAAUUCGAACUGAAUAUACAAAAUUUAAAAUAGUAGCUUACUUUUGUAAAAUCUCAAAAUUGAUAGAUUUUAUGUGCAAAUUGGCCUAACAUAA